AUUCAAAUAGUUUAAGAAAAAUGUUAGCUUGUGGUGCUUAAGAUGUAAUAAUUAACUUUGAAUU
rnacentral:tRNA from 1 species